UAAUGAAUAGAAGAUCGAUGUUUCCCUAUCGGCCGCUUGAUUGUCAUGAUGAUGGCAUCCCUAAGUAUUAGUUCUAUCUUAUCACUA